UAGUGAACUUGCUUUAAUUACAAGUUUGCCACUCCAAUGAAUAAAGGUAUAAAUAUGACUUUAUAGCAAAAAUUCAUUUAGGGUUUUCUUUUGGGGAAACGAUGAGAACACAAGCUCUCUUUUCUCUCUAAAGAGGCCAGCCACCCUUGGAGGGAUUAGCUAGUAAUCUUUCUCCUCCAAGGUCACUCAUCUCUUCUUCACAUCUUACCUUGGUGUGGAGACUUAGAGGUUCUCUAUUUUGAGAACUUGGAGAAACAUAUUUUUCCAUCCAAAUCCAUGGAUCUAAGAAGCAAGGAAUGAAGGCCCUCUCCUUGGGUGAUUAGCCUUUGCUUAUGCAAAGAGGAAUCUACAAAGGUAUAAAUUUCUCAACUCACUUUGUUUUGAGUUGAGUCUUGGUUCACCAAUCUACUAGGCUUUGAAUUUCAUGGUUAAUGUUUUGUUUUUAAGUGCAUACAAGCAUGAUUCCGCUUUUUAAUUGUUAAUUGCAUGCUAUAGAUGUUGCUUAAAUGAACAUGUUUUUCACAAAAUUUCCUUCAUGUAACAUCCCACGUCGCCCAGGGGAGUGGAUCCUAUAAGCCUUAUAUGUAUAUUCUCAUCUCUACCUAGCACGAGGCCUUUCGGGAGCUCACUGGCUUCGGGUUCCAUCAGAACUCAUAAUUUAAGCGAGUUCGUGCGAGAGCAAUCCCAGGAUGGGUGACCCAUUAGGAAGUUCUCUUGUGAGUUCCCAGAAACAGAACCAUGAGGGCGUGGUCGGGGCCCAAAGUGGACAAUAUUGUGCUAUGGUAGAGCAGAGCCCAAGAUGUGGUGGAGCCCGGGUCGGGGUGUGACAUGCGGACCUUGAAGUAGUAUGAUAUGCUAGUAUAAUUAGUUCAGGUAGUGUUCCUGCUUAUUUCUCUUUUGUUAUUCCUUUGGUUUUCAAUAAGGUUUCAAUUUUUCCGUUUUCGGGUGAUUAAUUGUACCAUAAGACAAUUUGUAUAAAUGAUAGUUUGAUUUGCUAGAAAAUCGAUUUGUGGUUUUAUUAAGGCAUUUCUGGAACUAUUGGUUUGCAUUGAUUAGUUAAUUUUAAUGAUUCAUAAUCAGAUUCUUGACUUUGAUACGUUGAGAUCAAUUUGAUAAUUGGGAGUAGUGUGAUAUGACAUUACUAUAUGCCCAUGUUUACAAAAUGUAGAUUAAAGUAUUUUGUAAUUCUUGAAUUAAUUAUGUAAGUGUACAAAUGGAGUUUUAGAGUUUUGUAAUUUGAAAUGUAUAGGAAAAUUUGAAUGUCAGGAUAAGCAUCUUGAUUAAUUUAGACUUAGUGAUCACUUCCAUAAUUCAACAGACUGGGUGUUAUGUUUCAUAUUCAAGUGGGAGAAUGUUAGGGUAUAAGAAUGAAUCUAGCAUUGGAUCCGAUUAUAGUAUGAGAAUUGGAUAUGGAAGGUUUAAUUAAUAAGCUUUGAGUAAUCCUAUUUCUUGUAGGAUUGAAAGCACUAUUUGUGGUUUGAGGUUUGAGGACUUGAACAUGAACUGGGAUUGUGUUUAUUCACAUGUUAAUAUGAAUAGGGUGCAGCCCUAUACUGAUUCUAAUAGGAGAAUAGUAAGGAUAAUGUUUAGUAUAUAAACACUAGUCACUACUUUUGCAAUGCCCCUGCUCGUCUUGAUUAAAAGUCCUAUUCUUUAAGAGCGCUUGAUUAUUGCUAAGGAGGAGAAGAUUAACUAUUGCAAAGAACAUUCAUUGCUUCAUCAUCUUCAUCUGGUGCUACAACUAUGUUUUUUAUUUGAUCUAUAAGAUAGUAGUGUUGUUCUUCUAUUUUGUGGCUCAAUGGCAUAUCUAGAAUCUAUAAUAUAGUACAUGUAUAUAUAUCUUACAGAAAACGUCUACUCCAAUUCUUAGAGACUAAGUAAUAACAACAACAAAGCCUUUUCCCACUAGUGGGGUCGAUUGUCUGAAUCCUAGAACGCCAUUGCGGUCGAUUUUGUGCCAUGUCUUCCGUUUGAUCCAAGUACUCUAAGUCUUUUAUUAGAGUCUCUUCCAAAGUCUUCCUUUACCCUUUCAACCCUGAACCUCUGUCUCAUAAUCGCAUCUUCUAACCGGAGCAUUAGUAGGCCUUUGUUUCACAUGUCCAAACCACCAUAACCGAUUUUCUCUCAUUUUUCCUUCAAUUUCGGUUACUCCUACUUUACCUCGGAUAUCCUCAUUCUUAACCUCAUUCCUAAUCUUAUCAUUUCUCAUGUGCCACACAUCGAACGAAGCGUUCUUAUCUCCGCUACACACAUUCUAUGUACGUGUUGAUUCUUCACCGCCUAACAUUAUAUGCCAUAAAGCAUCGUUGGCCUUAUUGUCAUCCUAUAAAAAAUUUCCUUGACCUUUAGUGGCAUACGACGAUCACACAACAUGCCCAAUGCACUCUUUCACUUCAUCCAUCUAGCUUGUAUUCUAUGAUUGAGGUCUCCAUCUUGUUGGAAAUGUGCCCUAAAACCAAUCAUAUGAUGAUACUUUACGGACAUUUCACAAGUUAAACUAAUGUAGUUUAAAUAUAAAGGGCAAAGAUUAUUGUUUUAAGCCGUCUCAUAUAAAUGUUAUAUGCUUAAACGAUAAGUCCAAGAAAUAUGUGAUUGGGAGAAUGCAAUCUAAAGAAGUUAGAUUCAUGAGACCAUUCUUUCGUAUACAUAUCCUA
rnacentral:lncRNA from 1 species